CAAGUCUUAACUACUCCACACAUGACACAUGUACAACAAAGGCUGCUGCCUGUUGUGCAGUCCUAAUCCCUGUCGCUUCUCUCAUUAUUUCGUGACAUGUCCACAGUUUCUCCACUGAGACUGAGGAGCGCUCGAUGCAAGUAUGUGACGAAGUAAUCUAACACAUCCUAUCCGGGCAUGCGGUGAGAUUUACACCUGUCAGAAAAGCAUCCUUCACCGUUUGUCAGAGGCCUUUGGGACAAUCUCCUGCUAAUGUAAGGAAAACGGCUGUUUUCUUUGGAGUGGCGAUUGCACAGAAGUAAAUCUUGCGAGCAGGGAAACUGGACUCCGCACCCACGUGCGAGCUGCGCUAGGGAGAGAUGGCAAACACAUUACAUGUGGAGAGACUGAGGCUUAAUAGUGCAGACAGAGGGGGUGUGUUGGAGAUCUAGGACCGUGUAUUGAGUUUUUCCCCAGGAGGCUCCUAUGAAACAUCCUUGGGAACUGGUUACAUCAUCUGCAGCAAGGGAGCAGGCUUUGUCGUGACGAAAGAGGGAUCUGGUUUUCUUGUAAUGUGCUGCCACCCACUGGUUGUUUGCGGCUCUGCCCUGGAGAAGCUGUCGUCAUGGUAGUGGUUCCAGCCGAUGCCUCCGUUCUGGCCUGGAGCAGCC